GUCGUGGGGUCCUGGUCGCCGAUGAGGCUGUUGAGGUCCACCGAAGUCUGCUGGUUCUUCGGAGGAUCGUUUUGGACUCCUUCGUCUGUGCAGAUUUCUAUUUUGUCCAUUUCGGAGAAUGGGAAAGCUGGAGACAGGGGCAGUAAGGAUGCGGUGCCUGGAGAUCGAUGUCUGGGUCUUCUUCAAACAACCCUCACCCCAGAAAGGUGGAGACACACUGAUCCAGAACAAUAGUUGCUCAAAAUUCCCAUCUCUCUCACAGACGGUGGAAAGGGAGAGUCUGAUAAGUAUGCAGGAAGGGGUAUGUAUGAGAUAUGCAUGCCCCGGGGGUGGGGAGACAUCAGAGCAGUUCCUGAGGGGUGGGUGGAUGGGGUGCAGGGGCAGCUGGUCCUGGGGCAAUAAAGCAGGGGUGUCAAACUCAUUUUAGUUUAGGGGCCACAUUCAGCCCAAUUUGGUCUGAAGUGGGACCAGUUAAAUCACAGCAAAAUAAAGAAACAAAAUGACAAAAAAAA